GUAGGUGAACCUGCGGAAGGAUCAUUAAUGAAAUGUAAGGAUGCUCUUUUUAGAGAUCCGACCAAAUUCAUUCCUUCACACCGUGCACAACACACUUUUUUACACCCAUUUUAAACACUAUAAGUCUUAAGAAUGUCAACAGUCUCUUAGUUGAGCAUAAACAAAACAAAACUUUCGGCAACGGAUCUCUUGGCUCCC
rnacentral:misc_RNA from 1 species